UACAGAGGGGGCAAGCGUUGUUUGGAAUUACUGGGCGUAAAGGGCGCGUAGGCGGCCUGCUAAGUCGAACGUGAAAUCCCUGGGCUCAACCCAGGAACUGCGUCCGAUACUGGUUGGCUUGAAUCCGGGAGAGGGAUGUGGAAUUCCAGGUGUAGCGGUGAAAUGCGUAGAUAUCUGGAGGAACACCGGUGGCGAAGGCGACAUCCUGGACCGGUAUUGACGCUGAGGCGCGAAAGCCAGGGGAGCAAACGGG
rnacentral:rRNA from 1 species